AUUGAACGCUGGCGGCAGGCCUAACACAUGCAAGUCGAGCGAGCGGCGGACGGGUGAGUAAUGUAUGGGGACUGCCCGAUAGAGGGGGAUAACUACUGGAAACGGUAGCUAAUACCGCAUACUAUCGGAUAACCCAUAUGGGAUUAGCUAGUAGGUGAGGUAAUGGCUCACCUAGGCGACGAUCCCUAGCUGGUCUGAGAGGAUGAUCAGCAACACUGGGACGGAGAAAGGGCCCAUACUCCGACGGAGGCAGCAGUGGGUAAUAGUGCACAAUGGGCGCAGGCCUGAUGCAGCCAUUCCGCGUGUAUGAAGAAGGCCCUAGGGUUGUAAAGUACUUUCAGUCGUGAGGCGUUACCGACAUAAGAAGAACCGGCUAACUCCGUGCCAGCAGCCGCGGUAAUUC
rnacentral:rRNA from 1 species